rnacentral:rRNA from 1 species
GAAACUUAAAGGAAUUGACGGGGGCCCGCACAAGCGGUGGAGCAUGUGGUUAAUUCGACGCAACGCGAAGAACCUUACCAGGGCUUGACAUCCCCUGACCGCGUAUGAAAGUACGUUUUCACCCUCGGGUGACAGGGAGACAGGUGGUGCAUGGUUGUCGUCAGCUCGUGUCGUGAGAUGUUGGGUUAAGUCCCGCAACGAGCGCAACCCCUACGUUUAGUUGCUAACGCGUGAAGGCGAGCACUCUAGACGAACUGCCGUUGACAAAACGGAGGAAGGUGGGAUGACGUCAAAUCAUCAUGCCCCUUAUGUUCUGGGCUACACACGUGCUACAAUGGCCGGUACAGACGGACGCAAAGCCGCGAGGUGGAGCAAAUCCUAAAAAGCCGGUCUCAGUUCGGAUUGCAGGCUGCAAUUCGCCUGCAUGAAGCCGGAAUCGCUAGUAAUCGCGGAUCAGCCAUGCCGCGGUGAAUACGUUCCCGGGCCUU